rnacentral:rRNA from 1 species
CAAUAGCGUAUAUUAAAGUUGUUGCAGUUAAAAAGCUCGUAGUUGAAUUUUUGCUUGCCGCCGAUGUCGGAACUUCCGUACGUUCGGCGGCGUGCAUCCUUGGGUGGAACCUGUGUGGCAUUAGGUUGUCGUGCAGGGGAUGCUCAUCGUUUACUGUGAAAAAAUUAGAGUGUUCAAAGCGGGCUUACGCCGUUGAAUAUAUUAGCAUGGAAUAAUAAGAUAGGACCUUGGUACUAUUUUGUUGGUUUGCGCACCGAGGUAAUGAUUAACAGGGACAGUUGGGGGUAUUCGUAUUCCAUUGUCAGAGGUGAAAUUCUUGGAUUUCUGGAAGACGAACUACUGCGAAAGCAUUUACCAAGGAUGUUUUCAUUAA